rnacentral:rRNA from 1 species
AUUGAACGCUGGCGGCAUGCCUUACACAUGCGAGUCGAACGGUAACAGGUCUUCGGAUGCUGACGAGUGGCGAACGGGUGAGUAAUACAUCGGAACGUGCCUAGUAGUGGGGGACAACUACUCGAAAGAGUGGCUAAUACCGCAUGAGAUCUACGGAUGAAAGCAGGGGAUCGCAAGAACUUGUGCUACUAGAGCGGCCGAGGGCAGAUUAGGUAGUUGGUGGGAUAAAAGCUUACCAAGCCGACGAUCUGUAGCUGGUCUGAGAGGACGAUCAGCCACACUGGGACUGAGAAACGGCCCAGACUCCUACGGGAGGCAGCAGUGGGGAAUUUUGGACAAUGGGCGCAAGCCUGAUCCAGCAAUGCCGCGUGCAGGAUGAAGGCCUUCGGGUUGUAAACUGCUUUUGUACGGAACGAAAAGCCCCGGGUUAAUACCCUGGGGUCAUGACGGUACCGUAAGAAUAAGCACCGGCUAACUACGUGCCAGCCGCCGCCGUAA